AGGGGGCAAGCGUUAUCCGGAUUUACUGGGUGUAAAGGGAGCGUAGACGGCAAUGCAAGCCAGAUGUGAAAGCCCGGGGCUCAACCCCGGGACUGCAUUUGGAACUGUGUAGCUGGAGUGUCGGAGAGGCAGGCGGAAUUCCUAGUGUAGCGGUGAAAUGCGUAGAUAUUAGGAGGAACACCAGUGGCGAAGGCGGCCUGCUGGACGAUGACUGACGUUGAGGCUCGAAAGCGUGGGGAGCAAACAGGAUUAGA
rnacentral:rRNA from 1 species